rnacentral:rRNA from 1 species
UACGUAGGGGGCAAGCGUUGUCCGGAAUCAUUGGGCGUAAAGCGCGUGUAGGCGGCUCGGUAAGUCCGCUCUGAAAGUCCAGGGCUCAACCCUGGGAUGCGGGUGGAUACUGCCGGGCUCGAGUCCGGAAGAGGCGAGUGGAAUUCCCGGUGUAGCGGUGAAAUGCGCAGAUAAUCGGGAGGAACACCAAUGGCGAAGGCAGCUCGCUGGGACGUGACUGACGCUGAGACGCGAAAGCGUGGGGAGCAAACAGGG